UCCCUCUUUCCUGAGAAACAACUUAUGCUUUCGGCCUGAACUCAGGCUGCUGAGGACGCAGUGUUCCAGGGAUGGUGGCAGAUCUUGGAGAAGUAACCUUAACAGAGACAUGGCAGAGGGCAUCACAAUUGCCAACUUGAAACUAUACUACAAAGCUACUGUGAUAAAAACAGCAUGGUACUGACCUGAGGACCAGUGGAAUAUAUUAGAAGAUGCAGAAACAACUGCAGACACACUCAGCUAUCUCAUCUUUGACAAAGGAGCCAAACACCUUCACUGAAGAAUGGCUGAGCUGAGACUCAGACGAGGAUGCUCUUGGCCUGCUGUGAACCAGACAGUGUGGAAAGCCACAGAAUAAAC
ensembl:lncRNA